rnacentral:lncRNA from 1 species
AAAUCAGUGAAUCGAUUAGACAUAUUGAAUUUGAAUCGAUGUUUUGGUCAAAUUCGUUCAAAGCUACACCCUAAUACAUAGUUCUACAUGGAAGGUUCAUAUACUAUUCUUGCGUGGAAAAUUUUGUGAUGGCGCGUAAUAAACUUAUCAAUUCGAUUUAUCUUAUCCGUAUGUCAAACCGAAUUCUCCGUCCACUCAUCACUUCAUCCCUGUCAAUUGUUCGAAGUGGGAAAAUUGGUCUACGCUUUCCAGGUAUUGUUCGAAAUCGGAGGCAACUAUGACUCGAUGCUCGCCGUUCUGGUUUGCUUCUCCAGCCCUAUUAUCUGUCCAAAUGUCGGACAGCUUGUUAUAGUGUCGGCUGGUGAGCGAGCAGCCGACAGAACGUGGCGCAAACAAAAGGACUCAGACGAGGGUGAUUUAGGCAAGGGUUGGGGGCAUGGUGGCAAAUGAAAUGGAAUUAGACUAAUUUGAUAAUUGAUGUGCUAUUAUUCAGAUCGCUUAAUCAGGUGAUUACAGUGCUAUCCACUUAAAGUGGUAGUAUGGAAUUCGAAAGCUGCCAAAAAGAACCGCGAGGUGCAUAGUGGUGGAAUGUUUGAAAUUUCAAAACGGCAUGAAGUCAACAGCUAGCCAGGGAUUGAAUGCGGCACAGUGGCACAAGAUAGCCAUCCGACGGAGGAGCGAAAAAUAACGACUGUAUAAUCGAAGAUAAUUACACAUAAAUUUCAGUUUGCCUGACGUUUCCCUCGUCGUGCGGGUGAUUAAUGUAUUUGAAGAGUAUCUCAGUUGGCCAUGUUCGCCGGGAAUCAUCCAAGCAAGCGAGCAAGCAAGCGAGAUGUGCAUGAGUGCGAGUGUGUGUGCCCAAGUGAGUCUGAUUCGGCGCACCGCUCUUCGACCAUGUCCUCUCAAUGCGCGGGGCUGACUUCGCAUCCCCACAAAGAGCUUUUUUAUGCUGUGCUGCGAACCGGAGCAUCCGACGCUAACGGCGUGAGCAAGGUACCUCUUUAGCGACAAACGGCGACACAUGACAUUGUGGGCUUCAUCGAGAUUUAUACCCUCGGCAGCGACAGCGGCAGCGGCAAAGAACGAAAGAGGAUCCUCAAGGUGGAAAGACAAGCCAGCAGACAAAGUGGUCAACAAAUGUGCGAAGCGGAAACGCCAACAGAAGAAAAAGCGAAAUAUAUAUUCCGACAACAUGACAAACAACAUUGGACAGCCAGCGGCGACGCCAUUCCUCUGACAUAGGGUGAUAAUUGAAAGGCUCAGUAAUUAACUAAUAAAUUACAGAAACGAGAAUAACUUGAAUUGUACUCAGGCUUGGGUUUCUUUAUAAAAUCAUUUAUUUCUUCUUCUUUAUUUCUUUCCGUACGCUUAAAGAUAAUUAAUAGAGUUUUUACGGCUUGCUACUGUUAUUUAUAUAUCAUUUUUCAUUCCUACAAUUUUUAUGUUAUCUGUACAUUUUGUCCUUUGUUCUGUAUUCGCAAUGAAAGAAUCACUACAGUCUUUAGCUCUUGUGUUUGAGUGGCAAAUGGAAAGUCUUUAACAAGCAAAAACAAACAAAUCAAACUUAAACUAAAAUGUUUGGCAAUUAUGUU